rnacentral:rRNA from 1 species
UGGGGAAUAUUGCACAAUGGGCGAAAGCCUGAUGCAGCGACGCCGCGUGAGGGACGAAGGUCUUCGGAUUGUAAACCUCUUUCAGCAGGGACGAAGCGAAAGUGACUGUACCUGCAGAAGAAGCACCGGCUAACUACGUGCCAGCAGCCGCGGUAAUACGUAGGGUGCAAGCGUUGUCCGGAUUUAUUGGGCGUAAAGAGCUCGUAGGCGGUUCGUCACGUCGGAUGUGAAAACCUGGGGCUUAACCCCGGGCCUGCAUACGAUACGAGCGAACUAGAGUUCGGUAGGGGAGACUGGAAUUCCUGGUGUAGCGGUGAAAUGCGCAGAUAUCAGGAGGAACACCGGUGGCGAAGGCGGGUCUCUGGGCCGAUACUGACGCUGAGGAGCGAAAGCGUGGGGAGCAAACA